UAGUAAUACUCCUUUGUGAGUGUUUUUAAAUAGGCAUAGAGAAAAAUCUUUAGCGGGUCAAUUUCUCUAUGUUUUUAUUAUAUCA
rnacentral:antisense_RNA from 16 species